AUGAAUGAAAAUAUUGUGCAAUGGCGAUUCACGGGCUUCUAUGGCCGUCCGAACUGGAAUGAAUGCAGCUUAUCUUGGGAUGAUAUUCGCAAUCUUCACAGGAAGGGGGACCAUCCUUGGGUAAUUUUGGGGGAUUUUAAUGAAAUAUCAUAUUCUUCGGAAAAAGAGGGCGGUAAUGCGAGACCAAAUGGUAUGAUGAGGGAGUUCCAUGAAUGCCUUAUGGAUUGUGGGCUAGAGGACUUAGGUUACACUGGCGACCUUUUUACUUGGAGCAGAGGUGAUAUUCGAGAGCAUCUUGAUCGUUGA
rnacentral:rRNA from 1 species